AAAUGGUUUUAACCGAUAUCUAUAGAAUAUUUCAUCCUAAAGCAAAAGAAUAUACCUUCUUCUCAACAGCUCAUGCUACCUUAUCCAAAAUUGACCAUAAAAUUUAUAAUGAAACAGGUCUCAACAGAUUCAAGAAGAUUGAAAUAAUCCCAUGCAUCCUAUCAGGUCAUCACAGACUAAGACUGGUCAUCAACAACAACAUAAACAAUAGAAAGACCACAUACAUGUGGAAGCUGAACAACACUCUACUCAAUGAUAACUUGGUAAAGGAAGAAAUAAAGAGACUUUUUAGAGUUUAAUGAAAAUGAAGCCACAACAUACCCAAAUUUAUGAGACACAAUGAAAGCAGUGCUAAGAGGAAAACUCAUAGCUCUGAGUGCCUCUCAAAAGAAGCUAGAGCAAGUAUACAGUAGCAGCUUGACAGCAUAUCUGAGAGCUCUAGAACAAAAAGAAGCAAAUAUACCCAAGAGGAGUUGAAGGCAGAAAAUAAUCAAACUGAGGGCUGAAGUCAACCAAGUAGAAACAAAAAGAACUAUACAAAGAAUCAAACAAACCAGGAGCUGGUUCCUUGAGAAAAACAAGAUAGAUAAACCCUUAGUCAGACUAACCAGAGGGCACAAAGACAUUAUCCAAAUUUACAAAAUCAGAAAAUGAAAGGGAGACAUAAGAACAGAAACCAGAAAUGGAGGAAAUCCAAAAAACAAACAAACAAACAAACAAACAACCAGCAGAUCCUACUAUAAAAGCUUAUCCUCAAAAAAGAAAAAACUGGAAAAUCUGGAUGAAAUGGAUAUUUUUUUUCCAGACAUAUACCAGGUACCAAAGUUAAAUCAGGAUCAUAUUAAUGAUCUAAACAGUUCCAUACCCCCUAAAGAAGUAGAAACUCUCAUUAAUAGUCUUUCAAC
rnacentral:lncRNA from 1 species